rnacentral:rRNA from 1 species
UACGUAGGUGGCAAGCGUUAUCCGGAUUUACUGGGUGUAAAGGGAGCGCAGGCGGCCUGGCAAGCCUGAUGUGAAAUACCGGGGCCCAACCCCGGGGCUGCAUUGGGAACUGCCAGGCUGGAGUGCCGGAGAGGCAGGCGGAAUUCCUAGUGUAGCGGUGAAAUGCGUAGAUAUUAGGAGGAACACCAGUGGCGAAGGCGGCCUGCUGGACGGUGACUGACGCUGAGGCUCGAAAGCGUGGGGAGCAAACAGG